GCGCCAAUAGCUCAUCCGGACAGAGCAACUGCCUUCUAAGCAGUAGGUGGGGGGUUCGAGUCCCUCUUGGCGUGCCA
rnacentral:tRNA from 1 species